AGUGUUCUUCCACUGAACACUCAACCCCUGUGUUCUUAUACUGUAUAGAAAGAGGAAGCAAAGUAAGCCUACCCCGUGUACACCUCAGCCCAGGCUCCGUGCCUGGUCUGUAUUGUGAAUGGGGAGACAAGG
rnacentral:snoRNA from 1 species